UACGGAGGGUGCAAGCGUUACUCGGAAUCACUGGGCGUAAAGGGUGCGUAGGCUGACUUUUAAGUCAGGCGUGAAAUCCAAUGGCUUAACCAUUGAACUGCGCUUGAAACUGGGAGUCUAGAGUUCAGAAGGGGCAGAUGGAAUUAGUGGUGUAGGGGUAAAAUCCGUAGAUAUCACUAGGAAUAUCAAAAGCGAAGGCGAUCUGCUGGGAUGAUACUGACGCUGAGGCACGAAAGCGUGGGGAG
rnacentral:rRNA from 1 species